rnacentral:rRNA from 1 species
AGAAGGCAUCUUUUAUGGUUGAAAAAUUCCGAUGGUUAGAGAUGGGCAUGCGUUGUAUUAGCUAGUUGGUGGGGUAACGGCUCACCAAGGCGACGAUACAUAGGGGGACUGAGAGGUUAACCCCCCACACUGGUACUGAGACACGGACCAGACUCCUACGGGAGGCAGCAGUGAGGAAUAUUGGUCAAUGGACGCAAGUCUGAACCAGCCAUGCCGCGUGCAGGAUGACGGCUCUAUGAGUUGUAAACUGCUUUUGUACGAGGGUAAACGCAGAUACGUGUAUCUGUCUGAAAGUAUCGUACGAAUAAGGAUCGGCUAACUCCGUGCCAGCAGCCGCGGUAAUACGGAGGAUUCAAGCGUUAUCCGGACUUAUUGGGUUUAAAGGGUGCGUAGGCGGUUUGAUAAGUUAGAGGUGAAAUUUCGGGGCUCAACCCUGAACGUGCCUCUAAUACUGUUGAGCUAGAGAGUAGUUGCGGUAGGCGGAAUGUAUGGUGUAGCGGUGAAAUGCUUAGAGAUCAUACAGAACACCGAUUGCGAAGGCAGCUUACCAAACUAUAUCUGACGUUGAGGCACGAAAGCGUGGGGAGCAAACAGGAUUAGAUACCCUGGUAGUCCACGCAGUAAACGAUGAUAACUCGUUGUCGGCGAUACACAGUCGGUGACUAAGCGAAAGCGAUAAGUUAUCCACCUGGGGAGUAC